GUCUUCGGACCCUAGCGGCGGACGGGUGAGUAACACGUAGGCAACCUGCCUGUAAGACUGGGAUAACAUAGGGAAACUUAUGCUAAUACCAGAUAGGGUGUUCCCUCGCAUGAGGGAAUACGGAAAGAUGGCGCAAGCUAUCACUUACAGAUGGGCCUGCGGCGCAUUAGCUAGUUGGUGGGGUAACGGCCUACCAAGGCGACGAUGCGUAGCCGACCUGAGAGGGUGACCGGCCACACUGGGACUGAGACACGGCCCAGACUCCUACGGGAGGCAGCAGUAGGGAAUUUUCCACAAUGGACGAAAGUCUGAUGGAGCAACGCCGCGUGAACGAUGAAGGCCUUCGGGUUGUAAAGUUCUGUUGUCAGGGACGAAAACGUGCCGUUCGAAUAGGGCGGUGCCUUGACGGUACCUGACGAGAAAGCCACGGCUAACUACGUGCCAGCAGCCGCGGUAAUACGUAGGUGGCAAGCGUUGUCCGGAUUUAUUGGGCGUAAAGCGCGCGCAGGCGGCUAGGUAAGUCUGAUGUUAAAGCCCGGGGCUCAACCCCGGUUCGCAUUGGAAACUGCCUGGCUUGAGUGCAGAAGAGGAAAGCGGUAUUCCACGUGUAGCGGUGAAAUGCGUAGAGAUGUGGAGGAACACCAGUGGCGAAGGCGGCUUUCUGGUCUGUAACUGACGCUGAGGCGCGAAAGCGUGGGGAGCAAACAGGAUUAGAUAC
rnacentral:rRNA from 1 species